AUUGAACGCUGGCGGCAUGCCUUACACAUGCAAGUCGAACGGUAACGGGUCUUCGGAUGCUGACGAGUGGCGCACGGGUGAGUAAUACAUCGGAACGUGCCCGAUCGUGGGGGAUAACGAGGCGAAAGCUUUGCUAAUACCGCAUACGAUCUACGGAUGAAAGCGGGGGAUCUUCGGACCUCGCGCGGACGGAGCGGCCGAUGGCAGAUUAGGUAGUUGGUGGGAUAAAAGCUUACCAAGCCGACGAUCUGUAGCUGGUCUGAGAGGAUGAUCAGCCACACUGGGACUGAGACACGGCCCAGACUCCUACGGGAGGCAGCAGUGGGGAAUUUUGGACAAUGGGCGAAAGCCUGAUCCAGCCAUGCCGCGUGCAGGAUGAAGGCCUUCGGGUUGUAAACUGCUUUCGUACGGAACGAAAAGCCUCUUUCUAAUAAAGAGAGGUCAUGACGGUACCGUAAGAAUAAGCACCGGCUAACUACGUG
rnacentral:rRNA from 1 species